GUUCUGAUAAGGGAUAAAAAUUCGUGCCUCAGAUGGCUCCCGUCACACUAAGAUCUUGCAACAAUAACACUACUGAUUCAGACAUUAAUCUUAAGUAUCCAGGGAACCCUCAAACAUUGUAUCCCACUUACAAGGACCAUGGUAAUUGCCACGUAAAUCCCCUCCAUAAUGUGGCCCUUAUUAUGACCAGCCAGCCAAGGCUUGCCUUUAAAUCAUAUCAAUUGAACCGAGUCUUGUAGAAACACUAUCACCUACACAUACCUCUGCUUCUUUUCAUUAACCUGUUAUCCUCUUUACAAACGGGAUUCUUCACCCACUCCCUUCUUCUAGAUUAGCAAUGCCCUGUUAAAUAAACGAACAUGAAAUUCAAAGGGAAACAGGAGCAAUAAUCAUUACCAGCUGCCGUGGUAAGCAUUGCGAAAACACUCACGAUUCACAGAAAAAUCCAUGCUGUUCUUUGAAGGCAUUCAAGCCUUAAUAGCUAGCUUGAUGAAUGUUUAACUUCUAGGCCAGGCACUACUCUGUCCCAACAAUAAGUCCUGUACAUUGGAAAAGGUGCCGAGACAUGAACUUUGGUCUUCUCUGCAAUCCAUCUGGAGUAUUCAGUGACAACACCGACUUUGAAGUUGCACUGACCUGGCCAGCCCUGCCACUUACCAGGUUGGUGAGGGUUCAGAUACCCAGAGGGCUAUGCGAUUGUCCAGGAGUCCACUCUGCUAAUUGUGAACUUAAUGAAUCAAGACCAUUGCGAUUGGAAAUCUGUUCUCCUCUGCUGCUGCGUCUCCUCCUUCAUACUCAAGCCAGAAACCAGGAAGGCUAUGGCUUGCUUUUUCACUUCUUGUGUCCUGUUUAAGAAAUACCUGCUAUCCCAAGGCAAUUUUGGAGUAAUUUGCGUCUUGGCAAUGUAGAGUCUUUCGAACCAUAACCAUGAUUGCAAACUCCUACAGAAGGGCUCAACAGUGAGUGUUGAGGGUGCACAGAGGAGGAAGGCAGCACAAUGAUGGAAGACUUCUUAAAGAGGUACUCAUAAUAAAGAACAGGAUAUUUGGAGAAGGAAGACAAUAUCAUUCCUGGUUCUUAGUCUUACCGGUUUGUUGAUCAUAACACUAACGGAGUUGACCUUAGAAUUGGAGUGCCUGGGUUAGAACCUUGGUAUCACCUUCUUACUGUAAGACUUUGGUCAAGCAUACUUCUGAUGUGAGUUCAGGAGAAGACACUGGCAAGGACAGCAAAGAACAGGAGAACACUCUAGCUUCCCUGAUAGCAUUCGAGGUGCUGUCCAAAACCUUGCCAUCGUAUCCCCUUUUGGAGACACAAGCCAGGAAGGAAGCUCUUCAGUGCAGCUGUGAAUAGAGAAACGCUGGCCGAGGAUUUGGGGACACGGGUGAUCAAUCCCAGUGAAAUUUUUAGAUCCCUGGGGACAUGAGCUGCUCUGUGUUUUCCAAGGUCAGGAUAAACAGAAUAACUUCAGGCUCCUCUACCCAGAAAGAACAUGUGGUAUAAACAUCAACUGCAGAAUAAAUAUGAUUAAGCUGGUACAUGGACAAAGAUGUUUUCUAGGAGAUGCUUAUCCUGGGAUAAGAGCUUUCAUAAGUGUUGGUGUUUACAUGACUCUUACUGUGUGUCAGGAACUGUUCUAAGUAUUUUACCUACGUCAAUUCAUUUGAUAGUCACAACCACUGAAAGAGGUAAGUACUCUUAUUACUUCCAUUUUACAGAUAGGGAAACUGAGGUAUAGAGAAGUCAAGUGACUUGUCCAAGGUUAUUAAGCUACCUAAUAUCAACACUAGGAUUUGAACCCAGAUCAUUUGUUUCUGAAGUACACGCUCACAAACACUGCAUUACUGAUACACUGUUUUGUCUUUGCAUACUUAAGUGGUCAUAACUUAAUCCGAAACACUUUGUGAGAGCAGGAAGCAAACUGUCCCCUUGUUAUGUGGACCAGUAUAGUGAUAAUACAAAAAUGUCUUGGCAAGAAUUACUUGCCAAUAUCUUCUAAUUGAGGCAAUUUUUAACAAGAAUAUACAUAUCUAGUCUCUAUUUUUCUCGCUAGAAGUUCUAAAAUCCCUGGACUUAAUAUUAUAUGGUAACAAUUGGCUGGAGUUGAGUUGCUGCCACUCUCUUUUAAUUGAGACAUGUUCCCUCCAAUUUGCUACAGGCCCCACCACUCCCUAUUGCCUCUCCAAUACCAGGCCAUUUGGCAUCUUAUUCAGCUCAUUUCGUGCACAUGUGUUCCACAAUUGGUAACAUAACCCUAAAAGUAUUUGGGUUUGUGGCUCCUGCUCUUGUGACAGAAGAUUUUUCUCCAAUUCCAAGGUCCAGAUAUACCAUAUUGACUUUGGGCAAAAUUUUUUUAAUGUGCUCAAGCUCAGUUUUUCUCCUUAAAAAAUGAGGAU